GAUGAAGAACGCAGCGAAAUGCGAUACGUAAUGUGAAUUGCAGAAUUCAGUGAAUCAUCGAAUCUUUGAACGCGUAUUGCGCUCUCUGGUAUUCCGGAGAGCAUGCUUGUUUGAGUAUCAGUAAACACCUCAACUUCCAUAUCUUGUUUGAAAUGGGAGUUGGACUUGAGUGAUCCCAACGCUUUUCCUCACCGAAAAGUGGCGGGUUACUUGAAAUGCAGGUGCAGCUGGACUUUUCUCUGAGCUAUAAGCAUAUCUAUUUAGUCUGCCUAAAAAACAGAUUAUUACCUUUGCUGCAGCUAACAUAAAGGAGAUUAGUUCUUAUGCUGACUGAUGCAGGAUUCACAAAAACGGCUUCGGCCGACUUUGUAAACUCGAUCUCAAAUCAAGUAAGACUACCCGCUGAACUUAAGCAUAUCAAUAAGCGGAGGA
rnacentral:misc_RNA from 1 species